GUGUCAGCCGCCGCGGUAAUACGUAGGUGGCGAGCGUUAUCCGGAUUUAUUGGGCGUAAAGAGGGCGCUGGUGGUUUUGUAAGUCGGAUGUGAAAUCUCCUGGCUCAACUGGGAGUGGUCAUUCGAUACUGUGAAACUUGAGAGCAACAGAGGCAGGUGGAAUUCCCGGUGUAGUGGUGAAAUGCGUAGAUAUCGGGAGGAACACCAGUGGCGAAAGCGACCUGCUGGGUUGUUUCUGACACUUAGGCCCGAAAGUGUGGGGAGCAAACAGGAUUAGAUACCCUGGUAGUCC
rnacentral:rRNA from 1 species